UGAGGAAUAUUGGACAAUGGGCGGAGGCCUGAUCCAGCCAUGCCGCGUGCGGGAAGACGGCCCUACGGGUCGUAAACCGCUUUUGUACGGGAAGAAACCUGUCCACGCGUGGGCAGUUGACGGUACCGUAAGAAUAAGGACCGGCUAACUCCGUGCCAGCAGCCGCGGUAAUACGGAGGGUCCGAGCGUUAUCCGGAAUCAUUGGGUUUAAAGGGUCCGUAGGCGGGCCGUUAAGUCAGGGGUGAAAUACCACGGCUCAACCGUGGAGGUGCCCUUGAUACUGGCGGUCUUGAGUGACGGUGGGGCGGCCGGAAUAUGUGGUGUAGCGGUGAAAUGCAUAGAUAUCACAUAGAACACCGAUCGCGAAGGCAGGUCGCCAACCGUGUACUGACGCUGAUGGACGAAAGCGUGGGGAGCGAACGGGAUUAGAUACCCCCGUAGUCC
rnacentral:rRNA from 1 species